rnacentral:rRNA from 1 species
UACGAAGGGGGCUAGCGUUGUUCGGAAUUACUGGGCGUAAAGCGCACGUAGGCGGGCGAUUAAGUCAGGGGUGAAAUCCCGGAGCUCAACUCCGGAACUGCCUUUGAUACUGGUCGUCUAGAGAUCGGAAGAGGUGAGUGGAAUUCCCAGUGUAGAGGUGAAAUUCGUAGAUAUUGGGAAGAACACCAGUGGCGAAGGCGGCUCACUGGUCCGAUACUGACGCUGAGACGCGAAAGCGUGGGGAGCGAACAGG